AAUAAAAAUUAAUGCUAUCCGUCGCAAGAUGCUAAUGUAGAGCUACAAGCGCUCUGAAUGUUGUUUAUUCUAAGUUGAACUCUUUAAAUCAAACUUUAAUAACUAUAUAAUUUAUGUGAUUCUAGUUGUCAUAUUUCAACUGAUUUUUAUUCGAAAACAUGUCCACUAUAUUCGUUUAUUUUUAACAAUCUUUGUGUUUAUUUAUUUUAAGGCUAGCUUUACUGGAAUCCUUGUACAUGGUCUUCUGAACAGCGAUUUACAGCCAAGAAUGAGGAAAGAGCUAAUGAUUUUCUCACAACAAAUACUUCACCAGAAGAUCACAUUCACAGCAGCUGGAUUCUUCGUGAUCGAUUUUACGCUUAUCAAUAACGUUAUUGGUGCUGUGACACAUAUUUGGUGAUUCUCAUCCAAUUUCAGUUGUCAACUUAGAUUUUUUAUUCUCUCAUAUUCGAGUACAGUAUAAAUCCGUGUUAUCGGAUGGACACGUUAAACUGUCGUUCCCGGCUGAAGUAUGACAGUCGUAAGGCCCAUGGACGGCUUAAAAUUCAGGCGGUGGAACCUUCCCGCAAGGGACUCCCCACCAACAAAAGCCAUACAAAUUUACUUUACAGUAUAAAUCGUUAACUCUAAAAUUAGGUAUGAUUAUACGGUGUGGAUUCGAUGUUUGAUUCGAUGUUUGGCCUGAGUACCGAAGAUGCUUUAGUUUCAUUUUUUGAGAUAUCUAUGAGAGUAUAAAUGAGGGUAAAAAAUGUUCAGCAUUAUAUCUAGAUAUCACUAAAGCCUUUGAUACAGGGAUC